AAGUCGUAACAAGGUUUCCGUAGGUGAACCUGCGGAAGGAUCAUUACAGUAACAUGCUGUAGACUGGUGUCUUGGAUUAAAACCAUGGGGACGGAAGAGGAGGCCUUUUGCCUCUGCAGAUUUGCUGCUCCCUCGUGUGGCCUAUGCGUAUCCCGUUAAUCGCCGUACGUAUAGGACUCCAACACCGCCAAACCUUGCAAACAAACUUAAACGUUACCUCGGCGGGUUUGCCCGCUGGUGGAUAAUAUUAAACUCUUUUAAAUAUUAGCUGUAAUUAGUGGAACAGUCUGAAAAUAUGUUAAUAUUUUAAAACUUUCAACAACGGAUCUCUUGGUUCUG
rnacentral:misc_RNA from 1 species